rnacentral:rRNA from 2 species
GAGUUUGAUCGUGGCUCAGAUUGAACGCUGGCGGCAUGCCUUACACAUGCAAGUCGAACGGCAGCACGGGAGCUUGCUCCUGGUGGCGAGUGGCGAACGGGUGAGUAAUGCAUCGGAACGUAUCCUGGAGUGGGGGAUAACGUAGCGAAAGUUACGCUAAUACCGCAUAUUCUGUGAGCAGGAAAGCGGGGGACCUUCGGGCCUCGCGCUCUUGGAGCGGCCGAUGUCGGAUUAGCUAGUUGGUGAGGUAAAGGCUCACCAAGGCGACGAUCCGUAGCAGGUCUGAGAGGAUGAUCUGCCACACUGGAACUGAGACACGGUCCAGACUCCUACGGGAGGCAGCAGUGGGGAAUUUUGGACAAUGGGGGCAACCCUGAUCCAGCCAUGCCGCGUGAGUGAAGAAGGCCUCGGUUGUAAGAC